GACGUAGGGCGCAAGCGUUGUCCGGAUUUAUUGGGCGUAAAGAGCUCGUAGGCGGCUUGUUGCGUCGGCUGUGAAAACCCGCGGCUUAACUGUGGGCUUGCAGCCGAUACGGGCGGGCUGGAGUUCGGUAGGGGAGACUGGAAUUCCUGGUGUAGCGGUGAAAUGCGCAGAUAUCGAGAGGAACACCUGAGGUGAAGACGGGUUGCUGGGCCGACACUGACGCUGAGUGCGCGAAAGCCAGGGGAGCAAACGGG
rnacentral:rRNA from 1 species